CAAUAGCGCAUAUUUAAGUUGCUGCAGUUAAAAAGUUCGUAGUUGGAUUUCGGUUAAGAGCGACCGGUCCGCCGUUUGGUGUGCACUGGUUGGUUUUAACUUCCUGUAGAGGACGUGCUCUGGGUUUAACGACCUGGACUCGGAGUCUACGUGGUUACUUUGAAAAAAUUAGAGUGUUCAAAGCGGGCUUACGCUUGAAUAUUUCAGCAUGGAAUAACACUAUAGGACUCCUGUCCUAUUUCGUUGGUCUCGGGACGGGAGUAAUGAUUAAGAGGAACAGUUGGGGGCAUUCGUAUUUCAUUGUCAGAGGUGAAAUUCUUGGAUUUAUGAAAGACGAACUUCUGCGAAAGCAUUUGCCAAGGAUGUUUUCAUUAA
rnacentral:rRNA from 1 species